UACAGAGGGGGCAAGCGUUGUUCGGAAUUACUGGGCGUAAAGGGCGCGUAGGCGGUGUGUCAAGUCAGGCGUGAAAGCCCCCGGGCUCAACCUGGGAACCGCGCUUGAGACUGGCACGCUCGAGUUCGGGAGAGGAUGGUGGAAUUCCCAGUGUAGAGGUGAAAUUCGUAGAUAUUGGGAAGAACACCGAUGGGCGAAGGCAGCCAUCUGGACCGACACUGACGCUGAGGCGCGAAAGCGUGGGGAGCAAACAGG
rnacentral:rRNA from 1 species